CGGUGAGGUGGAAGGACGGAGUCAUCCCAGCGACCGAAUCCCUCCCCGCAGACAGACAGCAGCCGCAGCUCGACGCUGAAGUUCACUUCCUAUUGAGUGUCGGACAACCGGCCAAAAAAAAUAGCCAGAGGGUUCUGGUCGUCUUCUAUAUACCAACGUCAGACUUACUUCAGUGGGAAAGAGCUUGAGGCCUUGAAGGUUCACUGAAAUCUCUUUCUGAAAAACAUUAAUCAUCCGCCUCUUCGCCCGUCUGCAUCAUAACAAGAGGGGAAACUCUCUGCGCGAUUCCUGGACUUGCUGCCACGGAGUAUUGGUUAACUUGGCUGGAGUGGAAAAGCACGUCAUAGCAGGUGCAUAAACCUGCUCAACCUUAAACCCUCCCUUUAUUUAUUGUCUUCUUCUCCCUCACCUGAGAAAAGAAUGAAAAAGUCUCAGAUGUCGGUCUACUGUUGCUUUUUCUCUCUCUUUUUAUUAUUUGUUCCCCAAGGGGAAAAAAAGAUGAGGGGAAAAAUAAAUAAAUAAAAACAGGGUGGCAGCUA